UGGCUCAGCAGUAAUGGAACUGACUAAUAUCCAUGACGCAGAUUCGAUCCCUGGCCUCACGCAGUGGGUUAAGGAUCCAGCGUUGCCAUGAACAGUGGUUUAGGUCACAGAUGCUUCGAAAAUCAGCAAUACAAAUGGACAGCUUUGCCCUGAAAGGCCUGUUUCCUUCAGCGAAGAUCACGCCUCUGAAGGCUCUCACCUGGGGCCACCCAGACAGGCUGCUCGGGAACCUGGCCUCCGGGUGUGUGAUGGGAUUUUCCACCUCUUCCGCCCAGCCCAUGCCCGGCACAGCUUGGGCACACAGCCAAUGCCCCAAGGUCCCUUACCCUCUAUCUUAGCCUCCCUACCUGGCCUCUGGGUGUGCGAUGGGAUUUUCCACCUCUUCCGCCCAGCCCAUGCCCAGCACAGCUUGGGCACACAGCCAAUGCCCCAAGGUCCCUUACCCUCUAUCUUAGCCUCCCUUGGCCCCCCAGGCAGUAGGUCUCAGCUUAGGGGCAGCAGAAAGCACUGGUCCACUGGGCCUGGGGCAGAGUGCUUCCUUUCUCAGCCUGGACACACCCACUGGGGGCUGGGGCCCUCACGUCCCCGCCCCUGCCGCCCAGUGCCAGCCCCUCCCUGGAGGAAGCCGCAGACGGGGUGGUUUCUUUAGAGGAAAGGACCCUUAGUGGGUCCACUCAGCCUGCCACUCACGGGGGCCUGUCCCCCCGGGAACGUGGCAGCUCCCAGGACCGCCUCUCCCAGGACGUGGGUGACCCAAUGGCUGGAAGAAGGAUGUUACUGUAGCCCCUGGGGGUUGAGAGCAGCUGGCAGCCUUGAGAAGCCUCUCCUGCAGUUUGACAGAGGUCCCCCAGAAGAGUCUGCUGGCUUCCAACUGGCCAGAAAACUGGCCCAGCUGCAUUCCAGACUCCCUGGCAUGGGGGGAAGAGGUCUCCGAGGGGGCUGAACCUGACUCAUCUCUAGGGAGAAGAUGGGCCGGCCAGGGCCCCCCAGGGAUAAGGUCUCUGCCACCCAGCUCUCCGGCGCCCCUGCCGCCCCCCACCGCGCCCCAGCUGAUGCCAUCCUUGGCCCUGAGGACUCGGACCUGGUGCCCUCCCUGACCUUGGCCGCAGCCCUGGUCCUGUUGUUCCUCCUGCUCUCCGCCUGGCUGGUGUGGGACAGGUCCCUCCAACCCUCCUGCUAACGUGGGUCCCGAGCAGGGGCUCGAGGGGGCAUGGCCCAGGGCCAGGAGUGGCAGGAGCGGAACCAGGGAUGGGGCUGGCUGGGCAUUGCAGCCAAACCCUGUGACCGGCUAGCCCUUGCCCAUGCGACCCCAGGGGACCCUGGGAGACCCUCGAGUCCCCCCCACUGGAGGGCAGGAACCUGGAUGAGCCCCGGACUGCGCUUCAGAAGGCCGCCGCUGCUGGAGCCUCACAGGAGCCACAGGAGGUGGGCUGAGAACCCGGGGCAGUGAAAGAGCAUGGCAGAGCUGCUUGAAAUCAUUUCUCCCCGUUUGCUGCCCGGUCCCCAUCCUAACUGCUUGCAAAUAAAGCCUGGUGACCCAGGGUAUUUGUGAA